rnacentral:siRNA from 1 species
AGAUUGGCCGACAUUCGCAGCGG